CGGUGAAUACGUUCCCGGACCUUGUACACACCGCCCGUCAAGCCAUGGAAGCUGGGUGUACCUAAAGUCGAUAGCCGUAAGGAGUCGCCUAGGGUAAAACUAGUAACUGGGGCU
rnacentral:rRNA from 1 species